rnacentral:rRNA from 1 species
UGAGUGAUGAAGGUCUUAGGAUUGUAAAGCUCUUUCACCGGUGAAGAUAAUGACGGUAACCGGAGAAGAAGCCCCGGCUAACUUCGUGCCAGCAGCCGCGGUAAUACGAAGGGGGCUAGCGUUGUUCGGAAUUACUGGGCGUAAAGCGCACGUAGGCGGAUAUUUAAGUCAGGGGUGAAAUCCCAGAGCUCAACUCUGGAACUGCCUUUGAUACUGGGUAUCUUGAGUAUGGAAGAGGUGAGUGGAAUUCCGAGUGUAGAGGUGAAAUUCGUAGAUAUUCGGAGGAACACCAGUGGCGAAGGCGGCUCACUGGUCCAUUACUGACGCUGAGGUGCGAAAGCGUGGGGAGCAAACAGGAUUAGGUACCCUGGUAGUCCACGCCGUAAACGA